rnacentral:rRNA from 1 species
CUAGGUGCGAGGUCACAUUCCCAUUGCUGUCACCCGCCUAAGGAUACAUUGGUUUAUUCCAAUGCAAGAGCAUAUCCGUUGGUUCCCCUGUGCAGGUUUACACAACUUGCCCAGGUGCCAAUCAUGACAAUUUCAAUCAUCAAUGGGGUAAAUCCUUCGCAGACGACUUUGCUCGAACUGGGUAUUGUAAGCGGCAGAGUAGCCUUGCUGCUACGAUCCGCUGAGAUUCAGCCCUUGUUCGGAAGAUUUUC